rnacentral:sRNA from 1 species
AAAAAUAAAUAAUGUAAAUUCCUACUUCAACUAGGUUUUAUGUCAAUCUCGAAACAGGAAAAAUCUCUUUAAUGGUUUUUGUGAAAAACUAAUUUCUAGAGACAGUGGAAAAACAAUAAGCUAAGCCGGUUUUAAUAAACCUUUAUCAUUUUACGAUUAUACGAAACAACUACUACUGUUGCAAAGUAGGGUGAAGCGUGAGCUUGAACCAUCCCAUGAACAAGUCAGUGGCAUUGUUUUUUGCUUAAGGGCUAGGCUUGAAUUCGAGCCGACGGUUUUUGUUAAGUUCCAAGACAGUUGUAAGUCGUUUUUUAAGGUCCUAAUGUUAUGCUAACGACGGUAAGCCUCAAGCAGUUUCAGGUAUUACAACACUUACGCAUACGCCCUAUUACAAGGUAAUUAAACAACAACUAUAUGUCAGAGUGUUUUUUCGUAGCUCGAGAUUUUGCCUCUAAGUAAUUCAUUUUAAGAAGGUAAAACCCUACACAAAGGCAUUUGUUUUUUUGUGGCAUUAGGCUUCGCCCUAUAGUCGUUGAUAAAUGAGCUUGUCUUACAGUGCUAGCGCAGUACGAAACCAUAGCCGAAAAUCGAUAAUCACACGCGUCAACAGGUAGCUAUUUGUAGGUUAAUAUUUUUCAAGUGGGAUUUUAAAAUAGUAGCAACGUUGUUUUUUAGUACUCAUCUAAUUGUUUAUAUU